UGGGUAGACUGUUCAGUGGCCUUCCGAAUGAGAUCCUUUGUGGGUCAUUCAGUCCAUGAAUUAGAAAAUUGCCUUCGUCUUGGAUGCUUGUACUUCUGG
rnacentral:lncRNA from 1 species